CCUUUCUGCCUUCUGUGUUUGCUGUUUCCUAAAGUGCCGAGUGAGAGUUGCGGUCUGGACUCCAAGACCUACAUGAACAUGGGCUGCCCCAGGACUACCUACUACUAUGCUUGAUCCCAUAGAAGAAA
rnacentral:lncRNA from 1 species